rnacentral:tRNA from 1 species
AAAAUAUGAAGCGAUUUAUUGCAAUUAGUUUCGGCCUAAUCUUAGGUGAAAUUCACCCAUAUUUU